UCUUUUCUUUCUUUCUCCCAGCUGCUGAACCUGAGAGUGAUAUUUACAUGCGCUUUAUGAAAUCCCACAAGUGCUAUGACAUUGUCCCCACGAGCUCCAAGCUGGUUGUGUUUGACACCGCACUGCAAGUUAAGAAAGCGUUCUUCGCCUUGGUAGCAAACGGUGUGCGAGCUGCCCCGCUAUGGGACACAGAGAAGCAAAGCUUUGUGGGAAUGCUGACCAUCACAGAUUUCAUCAUCAUACUACACAGAUACUAUAAGUCACCAAUGGUGCAAAUUUAUGAAUUAGAGGAACACAAGCUGGAGACGUGGAGAGAGGUUUACCUUCAAGCAACGUUCAAACCUCUGGUCAACAUAUCGCCUGAUGCAAGCCUUUUCGAUGCAGUGUACACCCUCAUCAAAAACAAAAUUCACCGCCUGCCUGUCAUCGACCCCGUCACAGGGAACGCACUUUAUAUUCUCACACACAAGAGGAUCCUCAAGUUCCUCCAGCUCUUUAUGUGUGAAAUGCCAAAGCCAGCUUUCAUGAAGCAGACUCUCGGUGAGCUCGGCAUCGGUACGUACCAUGAAAUCGCGUUCAUCCACCCGGACACGCCCAUAAUCAAAGCACUCAACAUCUUCGUGGAGAAACGAGUGUCUGCUUUGCCUGUGGUGGAUGAUUCUGGCAAAGUUGUGGAUAUUUACUCCAAGUUUGAUGUGAUUAACUUGGCUGCUGAGAAGGCGUACAACAACCUGGACAUCACAGUGACGCAGGCUCUGAAACAUCGCUCUCAGUACUUCGAAGGAGUCAUGAAAUGCCAUAAAAUGGAAACAUUGGAGACCAUUGUGGAUAGAAUAGUCAAAGCUGAAGUGCAUCGGUUGGUGGUGGUGGACGAGUGUUCCAGCAUCGAGGGCAUCGUCUCCCUGUCGGACAUCCUCCAGGCCCUAGUGCUCAGCCCUGCAGGUAUAGAUGCUCAGCAUUGCUAGCACCACCUCCCCCUUCUGUCCUGGACCCUGAGCUCUCUCCCCCCCAACCUGCCCUCUAACUUUGCCCCAGAUGCCUGUAAGGAGGAGAGCCUGACCGUGUAUGAGGGAGGAAGCGUCAGCAGGAGCGGAGACGUGGUGGAAGUAAAUAAGUCUGAAGGUUGAGGAAGCGUGUGGCCGAGCGGAGCCGGUCUGAAGGUCCCAAAGAGAAAGUGAGAGAGAGAGAAAGACGCCUGCUGCAGCUGAUGCACUAUAGAGGCUUGGAAACCAAAGAGCUAGACAGCUGAGUGAAGUGGACUCCCUGCACUGACGAUUGAUUUUCAGAGUUUUGUGGUUUGAACACUGAUCAGAUGCACACACACACACACACACACACACACACACACACACACACACA